rnacentral:lncRNA from 1 species
AGGAUCACUCUGUUGCCCCUGGGCAUGUGUUCUGGUGAUAAUGGGAUUGCAGUCUGAUGAUGAUGACGAUGAAGAUGAAGAUGAACAGUCACCUCCUUCCAGAAUCCUCAUGUGGUUAGCAGGUCGCUUAACUUCAGCAAGGAAAUUCUGGAUGACUCAGAACCUCAGGACUUUCCUGGGCCUGUGGCUCUUCAGCAAGGACCAUGUUUUCCGGUGGUGCCACAACGUCCAAUUUAUGUCCUUGAAAGGAAGCUGCCUGGUGUUCACUUGGUCUUCUUCAGGCUGGAGCAUGGGUUUCUUGGGAACGAGCCAGCUUUGACAGAGAGGAAAAGGAAGUGGUGGGGAAGAGACUCGGAGCUCUGAGAGUUCCAGGCCAUCUUCUCACCCCAGGCCUGCUGGAUCACUGAAAAAGACAUUUCCUGUGUCUUGGGCCAUCAUAUACAAUAGCUUAGCUUCUCUUCUACUAGUGCAGUACUGCUUGGCUUUUAAAAUUUACUUUGUUAGAAAUAAACGUUUAUUUUAAGAGAAAUUUCGACUAAAAAAAAAAACUAAAGAUGUGCCUGGUCUCUGCUAUCUUCAAGGAUCUUUGAGGAAAACUGUGCCUCUUCAGUUCCCUGAGUCCUCAAUCUGACCAUAGCAAGAUUCAUCUUUCAACAGAUUAGUUCCCUAGGCAUUUUUAGAAUUUUUAUUAGUCCAUGUUGGCAGUGCAUUACGAUCA